rnacentral:tRNA from 1 species
AAGAAAGUGACAGAGGGUAUGUGUCUGGCUUGAAACUGGAACAUGGGAGUUCGAUUCUCCCCUUUCUUA